rnacentral:lncRNA from 1 species
UCAUAUAGUAUAACGUCCUUGUAGAAAAUGGAGGCACCGGGAACCUAAUUUCAACCAGAUUGUACUUUGAAUGAUCAGUCAACUCAUAAUGGGUUUCUAACGUGGCCUCAAAAAGAGCAGUUCAUGACACAUCGUGUUACAUGAACCCCUAUCCUGGAGACACUCUAGUUUUCUCAGGGGUCAAUGCAAACAAAGCCCUUGCGCUCCAAGUUGAAACUGUGAUGAACUAAUGAUCCCAUGCUCUUGUUACUUGGUGAGGAGCACCAUUACCCACACAAGAGAGCUCAUCCCUCUACUGUGAUGCCAGGCCAUGGUAUUAGUGAGGAUAUCCCACUUUGUGAUGAUGACGAGCUGGCUGGAAAACAUGUUCAAACUGCACAAUUAACUGAAUAUUUAGUGAUCAGUGAUCAUCUGGGGUGAUCAAGGGCUAUCGCUAACGAUUGGUAACGAGUUUUCAAAAAAAAAAAAGAAAAGAAAAAAAUGAUUG